rnacentral:rRNA from 1 species
AGACAAGUUAAUAAGGGCGCACGGUGGAUGCCUAGGCGUUCCGGGCCGAUGACGGGCGUGGCAAGACGACGAAACGCCCCGGUGAGCUGUCUAGCGAGCUUAGCCGGGGAUACCCGAAUGGGGGAACCCGUUCCGAGUAAUGUCGGAACACCCCGAGUUAAAUCGGGGAGGGAACUGGGGGAACUGAAACAUCUAAGUACCCCAAGGAGAAGAAAUUCAAAAGAUUCCCUGAGUAGUGGCGAACGAAACGGGAAGAGCCUAAACCAUUGAGACUAAGUGGGCUGGGGCCCUAUGUCUAAAUGGGGUAAUAGGUAGAUUGCGGACCCGACCCCGGUUGGGUCAAGGUGAAAGUGAAGCCUAGCGGAAGGACCCUGGAAGGGGCCACCAUAGAGGGUGAUAGUCCCGUAUGCGAAAGGUGUAAGCAGCCUGCAGUCUAACCUGAGUACCACCGGACACGAGAAAUCUGGUGGGAAGUAGGGGUGACCACACUCCAAGGCUAAAUACCCGGGACGACCGAUAGUGAACAAGUACCGUGAGGGAAAGGUGAAAAGCACCCCGGGAGGGGAAUGAAAUAGAACCUGAAACCGUGUGCCUACAAGCAGUCAGAGGUUCGAGCGAUCGGACUAAUGGCGUGCCUAUUGAAGAAUGAUCCGGCGAGUAACUCUCAGUAGCCAGGUUAACUCCCUUACGGGAGGGAGCCGAAGCGAAAGCGAGUCUGAAUAGGGCGAUAAGUUGCUGGGAGUUGACCCGAAACCAGGGUGAGCUACCCAUGGGCAGGGUGAAGCCCCGAUAAGCUCGGGGUGGAGGCCCGAACCCUUUAACGUGGCAAAGUUAUGGGAUGACCUGUGGGUAGAGGUGAAAUGCCUAACGAACCUGGAAAUAGCUGGUACUCCCCGAAAUGCAUUUAGGUGCAGCCUCAGGUGAUGAAGCCGGGAGGUAGGGCACUGGAUGAGCUAGGGAGGUUAACCCCUUCCAAACUCAACCAAACCGUGAAUGCCCGGCUAUCAAGCCUGGGAGUGAGACUGUGGGGGAUAAGCUUCAUAGUCGAGAGGGAAACAGCCCAGACCAACAGCUAAGGUCCCUAAGGUGGGCUAAGUGGUAAAGGAUGUGGGGUCGCAUAGACAGCCAGGAGGUUGGCUUAGAAGCAGCCAUCCUUUAAAGAGUGCGUAAUAGCUCACUGGUCUAGGGGCUCCGCGCCGAUAAUCCAGCGGGGCUCAAGCCCACCACCGAAGCUAUGGAUUUUGGGAAGUGAGAGGUGAGAGGUGUGAAGUGGGAGAAGGCAUUAGAGAUUUUGCUGACCUGGAGAUAUAUCAGGCGGGCUAUAAGUUAGCUCUGAUGGUAUAUCAGGUCAGUCAGAGUUUACCCGAGACAGAAAAAUAUGGACUUUUGAGUCAGAUGCGACGAGCGGCGGUAUCCAUACCGGCGAAUAUAGCCGAAGGUUAUGGUCGCAGGAGUAGCGCAGCGGAGUUCAAAAACUUCCUGCGGAUGGCAUUAGGCUCAGCAAAUGAAAUGGCCGUCCUAUUAAGCCUGACGAAAGACCUGGGCUACACAAAUCAAAGUAAGGUUCAGGAAUUAAUUCAGGCAUAUGAUAGUCUGGGUAAACAGAUAUAUCGUUUAAUGCAAGUCUGGAAAUAAAAUAAAUCCCAUUUCCCAAUUCCCAUCUCUCACUUCCCAAUCUGGUAGGGGAGCAUUCCCUGUGCAGCGAAGCUCAGUUGCGAAGCUGUGUGGAGCGCAGGGAAGGGAGAAUGCCGGAAUGAGUAACGUUAACCCCGAUGAGAAAUCGGGGCACCGGAAGCCUGAGGUUUCCUACGCCAGGUUAAUCCGCGUAGGGUUAGUCGGUCCUAAGUCGAGGCCGGAAGGCGCAGACGAUGGAUGACAGGUAAUUAUUCCUGUACCGUUCAGGGGGAGGGUCCGGGGGAACACAGGUUGGAGGUAGGAGCGCACCCAAUGGACAUGGUGCGUCACCAAAGCUAAGGCGUGGGCUGGUAGGCAAAUCCGCCGGCCCGAUAAGCGGAGGCGAGGGGGAAGCGGAGGGGCAACCCGAAGCGAUUUCUGCUGGCCUAUCCUGUCCAGAAAAGCCUCGGAACCGAUGAUUCCUGAGCGACCGUACUACAAACCGCCACUGGUAGGCAAGAGUAAAUGCUCUCAGGUGGACGAGAGAACCCUCGUUAAGGAACUAGGCAAUUUAGCCCCGUAACUUCGGGAGAAGGGGUCCCCGAUACGCGCAAGCGCUAUUGGGGCGCAGUGAAAUGGCUCUAGCGACUGUUUAACAAAAACACAGGUCUCUGCCAAAGCGAAAGCUGAGGUAUAGGGGCUGACACCUGCCCAGUGCCGGAAGGUUAAUGGGAGACGUUAGUCGUAAGGCGAAGCGUUGAACUGAAGCCCCGGUGAACGGCGGCCGUAACUAUAACGGUCCUAAGGUAGCGAAGUCCCUUGUCGGGUAAGUUCCGACCCGCACGAAAGGUGUAACGACUAGAGCGCUGUCUCAACGAGGGGCUCGGUGAAAUUGAAUUGCCCGUGAAGAUGCGGGCUACCCGCACCUGGACAAAAAGACCCCGUGGAGCUUUACUGUAAUUUGGCAUGGGAGCGAGGCUGGGCAUGUGUAGGAUAGGUGGGAGGCUAUGAAGCUCUGGCGCUAGCCGGGGUGGAGCCAACGGUGAAAUACCACUCUUGUCUGGUUUUGCUUCUAACCCCUGGAAAGGGGGACAGUGCCUGAUGGGCAGUUUGACUGGGGCGGUCGCCUCCCAAAAAGUAACGGAGGCGUCCAAAGGUUCCCUCAGCACGGAUGGAAAUCGUGCUUAUGAGUGCAUUGGCAUAAGGGAGCUUGACAGCGAGACCAACAAGUCGAGCUGAGACGAAAGUCGGGCAAAGUGAUCCUACGGUCCCGAGUGGAAGGGCCGUGGCUUAUCGGACAAAAGCUACCCCGGGGAUAACAGGCUGAUCUUGCCCAAGAGUUCACAUCGACGGCAAGGUUUGGCACCUCGAUGUCGGCUCGUCGCAUCCUGGGGCUGGAGCAGGUCCCAAGGGUCCGGCUGUUCGCCGGUUAAAGCGGCA